rnacentral:tRNA from 1 species
AGCUCAGCUGGAUAGAGUACUGCCCUCCGAAGGCAGGGGUCACAGGUUCGAAUCCUGUC